rnacentral:ncRNA from 1 species
ACUGAAAAAGGCAAACUUACCGAAAGGUACGGGCGCAAAGCUACGGGUCUAAAGCCGGGCAUUUUAUUUUUGAAAAAGUGCCGGGUCAUGAUUGCCGGGCCGCUGAAG